rnacentral:rRNA from 1 species
UGAGUAACGGCGAGCGAAAGGGAAGAGUCCAGCGCCGAAUCCCGCGCUUACUAGGCGUCGGGAAAUGUGGCGUUUGGGAGUGAGCGUGCCGAUAGGCGACUCUGCAGCAAGUCCCCCUGACCGGGGCUCUUUCCCAAAGUGGGUGCGAGGCCCAUAGCUGCUAGGUCCCCGUCGGAUGCGAUCUCCUUGGAGUCGGGUUGCUUGGGAGUGCAGCCCUAAUCGGGAGGUAAACUCCUCCUAAGACUAAAUACCGCCGUGAGACCGAUAGCAAACAAGUACCGUGAGGGAAAGUUGCAAAGAACUUUGAAGAGAGAGUUCAAGAGUACGUGAAACUGCUCAGAGGAAAACGGGUGGGCCCUCGAAAUCCUGUGGCGGGAGGAUUCAGUCGAGAGGCUUCGGAAGCUUUUUCAGGGGCGACGAAUGGGAUCCGCGACCGGACCCCCCCAGAGAAAGCUCUUUCGAGCCGACCGACGCAUUUCUUUCCCGUCCGAAGGACGCCGCAACGGGUUGGCGGGACGGCCUUAAGGUCGGAUACCGGCAGGUGGCCGGUGGUCCUCAUUUGCUGGAUCGCCGGUUGUUAGCCUUUCCUUCUGCUGGCCGUACCCCGACCCAGGUUAAAAGGGCCCUUUCAAUGGGCCUCUCCGCCUCCUCCGUUAAAUUGGUUGCGAGUAGACGUGGCAGGUGAGACCCUUGUCUCUCAGGCGGGCGCACGGACUCACUCCGUGGCCCAGCUUGCAAGGGUCCCCGAGC